rnacentral:rRNA from 1 species
UCGAGAAUCUUCGGCAAUGGGCGAAAGCCUGACCGAGCGACGCCGCGUGGAGGAAGAAGGCCUUCGGGUUGUAAACUUCUGUUGGAGAGGACCAAACAAUGAGGGAAUCUCUGAGGAAGCACGGGCUAAGUUCGUGCCAGCAGCCGCGGUAAGACGAACCGUGCGAACGUUAUUCGGAAUCACUGGGCUUAAAGAGUGCGUAGGCGGCAUCGUAAGUUGGAGGUGAAAUCCCGUCGGCUCAACCGCGGAA